UGCGUAGGCGGCUUUUUUAAGUUUGGUGUGAAAUCUCCCGGCUUAACUGGGAGGGUGCGCCGAAUAAUGAGAGGCUAGAGUGUGGGAGAGGAAAGUGGAAUUCCUGGUGUAGCGGUGAAAUGCGUAGAUAUCAGGAGGAACACCGGUGGUGUAAACGGCUUUCUGGACCAUAACUGACGCUGAGGCACGAAAGCGUGGGUAGCAAACAGGAUUAGAUACCCUGGUAGUCCACGCCCUAAACGAUGCAUAUUUGGUGUGGGCCAUUCAUUUGGUCUGUGCCGGAGCUAACGCGUUAAAUAUGCCGCCUGGGGAGUACAGUCGCAAGGCUGAA
rnacentral:rRNA from 1 species